rnacentral:tRNA from 1 species
AGUAAGGUCAGCUAAUUAAGCUAUUGGGCCCAUACCCCGAAAAUGUUGGUCCCCUUCCCGUACUA